GCUCACAAUGACAAUGCUAACAUGCUAAUGUUAAGCAGGUAUAAUAGUUACCAUGUUCGCCAUCUUUGUUCAGCGUCUCAGCAUGCUAACAUUUGAUAAUUAGCACCAAACACACAAAAGACAAUUGA